rnacentral:rRNA from 1 species
UACGGGGGGGGCAAGCGUUGUUCGGAAUUACUGGGCGUAAAGAGCUCGUAGGUGGUUUGUCGCGUUGUUCGUGAAAACUCACAGCUUAACUGUGGGCGUGCGGGCGAUACGGGCAGACUUGAGUACUGCAGGGGAGACUGGAAUUCCUGGUGUAGCGGUGGAAUGCGCAGAUAUCAGGAGGAACACCGGUGGCGAAGGCGGGUCUCUGGGCAGUAACUGACGCUGAGGAGCGAAAGCGUGGGGAGCGAACAGG